AGCAGUAAUAGCCCUAAUGAACAAACAUAGGCACAUAAAGACUAACCAUUGUCUCCGUAUCCUAACGAUGUCACCACUGGUCACACUUCAAAACAGCACAGAAGGAAAAUGCCUACAAUGCGCUGCUUAUUAGGAAGGUCCACUACAUGUUCGCCAAAAAGUAACUCCUGGGGCUAGAGAGGUGUGGCUUAAUGGUUAAAAGUACUGGAUUUUCUUCCGGGGGACCUGGGUUUUUAAUAAGAUGGCUUAUUGACAGCACCCACAUGGUGACUCACAGCCUUCUCUAACUCUAGCCCCAAGGGAUCUGCUACUCUCUGGCUGGUACUGCAUGCACACAGUGCAUAGACAUACAUGCAUGCAAGCAAAACGCACAUGCAAAUAAUUUAAAAUUUUUACAAAAUAAUACUUCUCAAGUGACAAAAUAAACAUUAGGUACCUUCUACAUCAUAAUUAUAGUACUUUAGUGAAUUAUAAAACCUAAGUAGAUUGAAGGGAAAAAAUGGCCUCUGGGAUAAUAGAUGAAUUCCUUAUUCUAAGGAAAAAGAACGGGACUAGCUGCUAGCACAUAAGUCAAUCACAAAGACUUAAGCAAGUGUCUGGGAUGCCCUGACAACAGCCUGGUCACAUCUCAGGUUGUACUUUUGACAGUGUUACUAAGACAGAGGAUGAAAAGCAAAUGUAGAGUGUCAAUAGAAUUUUGUGAUGUUCAGAGCCCUCUGCAAACCUGAGGGAAGAAGGAAAAUGAAAACUUCCUAAGUUUACAUAUAAUUUAGAUGGCUCAAGUAAAGCAUCACAGACAGAAAAGACAAAGAAAAACCCAACAAAAAUGUGCAUAAUAUAAUGAGAAUGACAGAGUAAAUGGAUUUGUUGAUUUUAAGUGUAUGCCAACAGAAGACUAAGCAUGAGUAGAGACUCAGUAAGACUUGAAGUACCAUUAUAACUCCCAAUUUAAAAAAGGGCUGUUGACUAACUUGUCCAAAGCCCACACUGUCUAUAUGAGUUCUGUACCCAUCCAAUUAACAUAAUCCAAUCCCACUCUAAAAUCACCUCUUUAUACAAAUAGGAAAUCUUGCCAACAACAAUGAAAACCAUUCUACAGCACACCACUGCCUAACAUUAUUUAAUAGGGAACGUUUGGUGAGGAAUCAUGGCAUAAGCCCCCAUUAUAGUCAGUCAAAAUUGCUGGGGGUAGAGGACUGGAAUAAGCGAUUUAAACAAGCUCCCCGAUCAUUCUAAUAAACAUUAAAAGUUUGACUGCUACAUAAAUUAAUAAGGAAAAGAAUUAAGGACCUUAAAUUGUGAGUCACAUCACAGUAAGGUUGAAAGAACAGCAGCAAUACUAGAUAUAAAUACUGACAGCCUAAAUGUCCUCCUGAUAUUUUGAAAAGAAAACAAACAAACUUUAUAUGCAUCAUGCCACUUCAUUUUCAUAUCUUUACAUGGUAGGAUGUCGCCAUUUGUUGUUCUUGUUUUGUUUCUUAAAGCAGGCAGGUUUUCUCUGAUGCUUAGUUUGUCCUUAACCUCCCGAGUGCUAGGAAAUCUAUACUGUCAGACAAUUUAGUAAUCUACUUUCUCUAAGAAUGGAGUUCAGUAUCUUAAUUCUCUGAUAUGUAGUAGGCUACUUGGUAUGUCUUCAUGCUUGUUGCAUCUCUGAGUCACUGACACCCUGCCCAAGAAGGUAUCUCCUGGUAAUGAUGCACCCAGAAGUUCUCCUGAUUUUUCUUAGUAAGUGUUUAAGCUUGGUAUAUUUAUUCCAUUUUAGGAAAAGAGAAAAAAAAGGCCAGAAAAAUAAUUAUGGAAUUCUACUGGGCUAAGUUUCAGGACAUGACUGCUCUUAAAACUACUGGUAAAGAGAAAGACAUCAUUUAAAUACUCUUCAGAUCUUCAUUACCACUUUAAAUCAAAUCAUGUACUCAAAAUUUUCUUAACAGACACUAUACUGCCAAAACGUCUAGAUUGAGAUCUAGCUGUCAGUGUACAAGCAUUUGCAUUUGUGUCGUCACAUUAUUCAUGACACCGACCUACAGUUGUCGGGAAACAAUCUAUGGCUAAAACUGGUCAUGGGUUUUCAUUUCCCUAGUUCACAGUACUGAGUCUGGAUGGCCAUUGGAUUCCCUUAAAGAUCACGAAUCUCCUCCAAACUGGAUAUAUUGUCCAUAAACUCUACCUCAAAAUCCAACACCAGUAUAGAAGGAUAAACUAAUGCAUUUGAAUGAGUACUUCUUCAGCAGCAUUAAAGUUCAGCUCUGGCAGUGUUUUUCCAGUAGUGCUGACUCAACUGAGGCUUGCUUAUCUCAGAAAGUAAAUGUACUCUGAAAACCAGCAUGGACACUUUAAGGACUUCAGAAGGCUAUUAAUAACUCAACUAGGAACUAAUCCUGGAUAGCUGGGCAGAAUGCCUCCUUAGUCACCCCGUGCUUAGUCAAACUGUGUGAGCAAACCUCCUGACUGACUGCUCCAUCCAUGAAGGAUUAACAUGGCUCCCCUGUCCACAACCUAAGCUACUCUGAUCUCCAGGUAGGAAGAACCACCACAGAAAACAAUGUUUCUGGUAAUUCCCUACUUAAAAUUAGGAGAAAAAUCUAUACAUUGUAGGAAAAAGGCAAAAAUUAGAAAAGAAAGAUCUAUCAAAGUUGAAAAUAGUAAGGCAAUUAACCAUUAUUAGAUCAUACCUCCAAAAUGUAAAGCCACAUAUAUGCUAUAUAUAAAUGUCAUGUCAAUGCUCUAUGAACCACGAUUAUGUUAAUGAAAGCUGCAUCGCACCUGUGAAAGGAUCUGCUGUCUGCACUGUGUUGGAAGGCCCUGAAGUUCCUGGAA
rnacentral:sRNA from 1 species